AAAUUGAAGAGUUUGAUCAUGGCUCAGAUUGAACGCUGGCGGCAGGCCUAACACAUGCAAGUCGAACGGUAGCACAGAGAGCUUGCUCUCGGGUGACGAGUGGCGGACGGGUGAGUAAUGUCUGGGAAACUGCCUGAUGGAGGGGGAUAACUACUGGAAACGGUGGCUAAUACCGCAUAACGUCGCAAGACCAAAGAGGGGGACCUUCGGGCCUCUUGCCAUCAGAUGUGCCCAGAUGGGAUUAGCUGGUUGGUGAGGUAACGGCUCACCAAGGCGACGAUCCCUAGCUGGUCUGAGA
rnacentral:rRNA from 1 species